rnacentral:rRNA from 1 species
CACGUAGAGCGCAAGCGUUGUCCGGAAUUAUUGGGCGUAAAGAGCUCGUAGGCGGUCGUUCAAGUCGCGUGUGAAAGCCCCCGGCUCAACUGGGGAGGGUCACGCGAUACUGAUCGACUGGAAGGCAGGAGAGGGUAGUGGAAUUCCCGGUGUAGUGGUGAAAUGCGUAGAUAUCGGGAGGAACACCAGUGGCGAAGGCGACUACCUGGCCUGUUCUUGACGCUGAGGCGCGAAAGCUAGGGGAGCAAACGGG